rnacentral:rRNA from 1 species
GCCGCGUGCAGGAUGACGGUCUUAUGGAUUGUAAACUGUUUUUAUACGAGAAAAAACACUGUUUUCGUGAAGCAGCUUGACGGUAUCGUAAGAAUAAGGAUCGGCUAACUCCGUGCCAGCAGCCGCGGUAAUACGGAGGAUCCAAGCGUUAUCCGGAAUCAUUGGGUUUAAAGGGUCCGUAGGCGGUUUAGUAAGUCAGUGGUGAAAGCCCAUCGCUCAACGGUGGAACGGCCAUUGAUACUGCUAAACUUGAAUUAUUAGGAAGUAACUAGAAUAUGUAGUGUAGCGGUGAAAUGCUUAGAGAUUACAUGGAAUACCAAUUGCGAAGGCAGGUUACUACUAAUGGAUUGACGCUGAUGGACGAAAGCGUGGGUAGCGUACAGGAUUAGAUACCCUGGUAGUCCACGCCGUAAACGAUGGAUACUAGCUGUUGGAAGCAAUUUCAGUGGCUAAGCGAAAGUGAUAAGUAUCCCACCUGGGGAGUACGUUCGCAAGAAUGAAACUCAAAGGAAUUGACGGGGGCCCGCACAAGCGGUGGAGCAUGUGGUUUAAUUCGAUGAUACGCGAGGAACCUUACCAAGGCUUAAAUGUAGAUUGACCGGUUUGGAAACAGAUCU